rnacentral:lncRNA from 1 species
GGAAUUUGGUGAAGCUAGAAGGUUUUUGCAUAGACCCUAAAGAAGCAAAUUGCUACUUAGUCUAUGAGUAUGUUGAAAAUGGUUCACUACAUUCUUGGCUUCACGGUGAAAAACCUGAAAAAUUGAGUUGGAAAACAAGACUAAGAAUUGCAACUGAUGUUGCAAAUGGUCUUUUAUACAUUCAUGAACAUACAAGGCCAAGAGUUGUCCACAAAGACAUCAAAAGUAGCAACAUUCUCCUAGACUCCAACAUGAGAGCCAAAGUUGCCAAUUUUGGUCUAGCUAAAUCAGGGUGCAAUGCUAUAACAAUGCACAUUGUAGGUACUCAGGGGUACAUCGCCCCCGAGUACCUAACCGAUGGGAUUGUAUCCACUAAGAUGGAUGUUUUCUCAUUCGGAGUUGUGUUGCUCGAGCUUGUGUCAGGGAAGGAGGCUAUCAACGAUGAAGGGAAAGUCUUGUGGGCAAAAGUUAGUGAUUUUUCAGAAGGGAGUGAAGAAAGGAAGGUGAGUAAAUUGCAAGAAUGGAUGGAUGAAAGUCUUUUGAGGGAAGAAUUAACUAUCGAAAGUGUUGUGAAUGUGAUGUCUGUGGCUAUUUCAUGUUUGAAUAAAGAUCCUUCAAGAAGGCCAGGCAUGAUUGAAAUUGUGUAUGCGUUGUCUAAAAGUAUUGAUCUAUUUUCUGAUGUUUCAGAGGAGGGACUAUCUCCAAGGCAAGUCACAGCAAGAUAGACUACAUAAUAGUACAAGCAUAUUAUGUAAAGUUGUUUUGAAGUGGAGUAGCAUUUUGUGUUUUGAGGUUUUUACUUUCCUUAAAAGUUUUUCUUCUAUAUAUGUGUAAUAUUACUCCUAUAUUAUCUUCUAUAGUAGUAGUGGUAAAUCUAAUUCAGAAUAAAAGCAUGUUUAAGGUUGUUCUAGUGUAAUUCUUUACAAUUACAUGUAUUAGUUAUGCAGUUAUCUAAAUUGCAAAUCAAACACCAUAUUGAUUUUAUAAUGAAUAAUUUACCUCCUAAAUCAGCUAACAAACAUGAUAUUACUUAUUAAGAACCCGAUACUUGCAUAACUCAACUCCAAACCAACUGCCAACCGACCUUGAAUGAAAAGUAUUUUCCCUAAUUCUUGCAAUAGUUAAAUGUACCUUGGAAAAAGAUGUAUCUCAGAAAUAGCUAGUCCAAACAUGUGAAAACAUCCUGGAGAAAAACAACAAAUAUAAACACGAGUAUUUUCUACAAUAUGGUUGACCAAAAACCCUUCUAGGUGGGACCAACAAAUUGGAAAAAAAAAACCAUCUUCCUUUAAUGUUAAAGACAAUACCAUAUGAGAAAAUAAAUAACAACAACCAAUCAAAUAAUGCAGAAAAUCCCCAUCACUCAUUAAAUGGUCGAAAACCAAGACUAUGACAAAAAAAACAAGAACUUUGGUAUAUAAACCUCUUAUAACAACAUCAUAUUAUAUACACACACAUCUCUCCUUCAACAAAACACAAAACCAAGAAAAUGAUAACAAAACCAAUAUUUAUUUUUUCACUUCUCUUCUUCUUAUCAUUCAUAUUGAACCAAAACAUAAUAUGUUAUGCACAAGAGCCACCAAGCAUAACAGGAUAUACUUGUAAUCCUGAGCAAUUCAAUCCAUGUCAAACUUAUGUGUUAUACAGAGCUAGAGCACCAGAGUUUCUUGAUUUAGCCUCAAUUGGUGAUCUAUUUUCAGUAAGUAGACUAAUGAUAGCAAACCCUAGUAAUAUUUCCAACCCAAACACAACUCUUGUUAAUGAUCAACCCCUUUUUAUCCCCAUCACGUGUUCUUGUAACAACAUCAACACAACUUUUGGUAGCAUAUCUUAUGCUGGCUUUAACUACAGUUUCAAAUCAGGUGACACUAUGUAUGGUGUAUCAACAUCUAAAUUCCAAAACCUUACUACUUAUCAAUCUGUUGAGGCUGUUAAUCCAACUGUUGUACCAGAAAACAUUGACAUAGGUCAAGCUAUAAAAUUCCCAAUUUUUUGCAAAUGUCCAAACACAACAUCUUCACAAAAUCAACCAAGACUACUCAUAACUUAUGUUUUUCAACCUAAUGAUAACAUUUCUUCUAUUGCCUCAAGAUUCAGAGUAACCCCACAAUCUAUAACACAAAUUAAUGGAAAUAACACCAAGAUUCUUGAUACCCUUUUCAUCCCUCUUUCUAAUCUACCUAAUCUUACACAGCCAACAUCAUCAAACACCCCACCCCCACCCCCUACACCCUCAGCACCAGUAAAUCAAGAAAAAGACAGAAAAGGAACUGUUAUAGGGUUAGCAAUUGGUUUAGGGGUUUGUGGGGUUUUGUUGAUUUUGGUUCUUGGUUUGUUUUACAAGGAGAAAACAGGGAAGAAAGAAGGGUAUGGUGAUGUUGAAAGACAAAAAAGUUUGUAUCUUGGAUCAAAAAAGGGGUCUUUUGUUGAUAAAGAUGUUGAAGUGAAUUUGUUGGCUGAUGUAUCUGAGUGUUUGGAUAAGUAUAAAAUGUACAAAAUGGAACAAAUUUGGGAAGCAACAGAUGGAUUUGAUGAAGGGUGUUUGAUACAAGGAUCUGUGUAUAAAGGAACAAUUGAUGGUGAAGUGUUUGCAAUCAAGAAAAUGAAGUGGAAUGCUCGUGAAGAACUCAAAAUUCUGCAAAAGGUAAACAUUUUUACUCAACUUUCUAUACUUUGGGUAUCUUUUCAAGAAUCACUUUUGUGGACUAAUUGAUACGGAGAAAAUGAUAAACAUGGACCAAUUCGGGUUGAGGUAGCGUAGUAAGUAAUUUGUCUUUCAUUUUAAAUUUUUGGAUUUGAGUCAUCUGAAUACGAAGUUAUUUUUGCUAAGAAGCGAGCUAUUAUUAUUAAUAGAGAAUUUGCUAUAUAUUUGGUAUGUUAUCAAGAAUUGUUUUUGUGUACUAAUUAAUGUUUGAGAAAAUGACGAAAUGAUUUAGUAAUUAAAGAUUUAAAAUUUAAAUUUCUUAGGUAUGUUAUUUUAGUUAGAAAGUGCAUUUUAAUAUGAUUUUAAAUUUAAUUAAACUUUAUAAUGAAUAACAAACUACAGUAAAAGGAAAAAGAAAACAUGGUACAUAUAUGUGGAGGGUUGAUUUAUAAUAGUUUUUUAAGUAUGUACUAUAUUUGAUAGUUUCCAUUUUUUAAGUUUGUUAAAAAGUAAUAUAUUUAAUUUUUCAUAUAAUAUUUAUUGAAUAUACAUGUUAGAUUUUUGGAGCUUGAUUAGUUUUGAUUUGUUUCUAUAAUUUAGUGUUUUUUUUUUUUUGAGGUGUGAAGUUGUCUAUAUGCCAUGUUUUCUGCAGCAUAUUUUUAGAUAUCAAUAAGAUCUUUUUAGUUUUUAUGAUUAAAUUAUUAAUUAUUUUGUCAAAUUUAAUAAACAUAAAUUAUUGAGUAUUUGAGAAGAUUAAAAGUGUCAACUUUUGAUAAAUAAAUUCAAUUUAAGGAAUUAUUUUGAACAAUAUUCUCCCUCCUUAGAGGCUAUUUUUGUCAUUUUCUCAACUGAUAUUUUAGUAAUGUUAAAUUCCACCACAGAAUUGUUUUUCCUCCAAUGGAUCAGAUUAAGUAUUUAAUUUUAAUAAAAUAUUAAACAAUUUAAAUUAUUAGGUCUAGUGACCUGUCGUAUUCUUAAGACAUUAGUACUUUAUUUAAAUAUUUAAGUGGACCAUUAUGCCCGUUGGGAUUUGAUAAUUUAUAAUUUAAGCUAAUCUACAUCAUUUAAUACUCAAUUUAUUUGUCCUUUGAUGUCUAUCUUUUCAUUAAAAAUACUCCUCUUUUUGUUUCUCAAUUAUUUCCCUCGCAUAUCUGCUAUUAAAGUCGAGCGUAUAUCAAAAAUAAAUUUUUUAUAUAUUAUUUUUUUAAUUUUAUUUAUAAAAUUCUCACCAGAUAUAUUGUUAUUGCAAUAAAAAAUUAGAUAUUAACAUGAUAUCUAGAAAUAAUUUUUUUCUUUUUUUUUUGGCCAUAGAAAAGAGCAUCUUUUAUUAAUAAUUUAUUAUAUUAAGACAAAGUUCAAAAUAAAUUUUCUUCCUAAAUGAAAUUUCUCGUAUUUGACCUCAUUUUGGCUGUACUAUUUUGACUAGAAGUAUUAGUUAAAUCCUAUUAAAUGAAGAAAACGUCAUCAAGUCCUAUUUUGCAGCCGUUACUAUAAUUAGGGCGUCGUUACAAUAUUAGAUAUUGGUCCGAUAAAUCAAUAACUUUUUUUUAACAAUGUAUUAUGUACUAUUCUAUUGAAAAUUGUCAUUCUUUUUCGAACAUAGUUAUAAGAUUUGUGUAUGCUCUAUUUAAAGACUGAUACGGGAUUCUUAUGAAGUGGUGUCAAUGAUUUAGGAACUUUUGCAACCCCUUAACCACUAGACUAAACUUUCUACUUGUGUCAAAAGAUAUCAAUACUUAUAUAUACAAUGUGAUUUUCCUCGACCAAGGGUAGGUUGACCCCUGACUCUACCAUCUUCAGACCGUACUUUGUGCAGGGUAGGUCCACCCCUGACUCUACCAUCUUCAAAUCGUACUUUGUGCAUGACAUUGAAUAUGUUAUUAUUGCAUUGUAUGGCUACUUAACAAUUUCCUCCUUUUUUUUGUUUUGUUUUGUGUAGGUGAACCAUGGGAAUUUGGUGAAGCUAGAAGGUUUUUGCAUAGACCCUAAAGAAGCAAAUUGCUUCUUAGUGUAUGAGUAUGUUGAAAAUGGUUCACUACAUUCAUGGAUUCAUGGUGAAAAACCUGAAAAAUUGAGUUGGAAAACAAGACUAAGAAUUGCAACCGAUGUUGCAAAUGGUCUUUUGUACAUUCAUGAACAUACAAGGCCAAGAGUUGUCCACAAAGACAUCAAAACUAGCAACAUUCUCUUAGACUCCAACAUGAGAG